AUGAAGGGUUGGGGGGCUAAUCUUGGCCGGGACCUGAGAGAGCGCAAGAAUUCCAUCCUUGUGGCGAUUCAAGCCUUGGAUGCGCGCGCGGACUCGACCGGGCUCUCCUCGGAUGAGUGGCUGCUGCGCUACGACCUAGAGGACCAGCUAUCCCUCAUCUACACGGAUGAGGAGGCCUACUGGCGCCUACGGGGCACCCAGAGAUGGGUGCUUCAGGGCGACGCAAACACCGCAUACUUCCAGGCGGUUGCGAACGGCCGGCGCCGUCGCAACUCCAUCCACUGCCUAUGGGAUGGAGAUGCGCAGUUAGUGCAGCCCGCGGCCAUCCGCCUCCAUGUGGAUGGCUUCUAUAGGGCCUUAUUUACCCCCACCCCGCAUGGUGGGGCUAGCCUUGCCCCCGACAUUUGGUCGAGGGCGCUUGGAGUCUCGGCUGCAGCCAAUGCGGCCUUGGUUGCUCCUUUCAGUGAGGACGAGGUCCUCACUGCCAUUAGGGGGAUGAACCCCUCCUCGGCCCCGGGACCUGAUGGUCUACCUGUAGCUUUCUUCAAGACGUUCUGGCCUACCAUCAAGCAUGAGGUCAUGGCUCUCUUUGAGGAAUUCUACUCUGGUACCAUGGAUUUGGGGCGCCUUAACUAUGGUGUGGUGACCCUCAUCCCCAAGGUCCCGGGUGCCGCCGAUAUCCGCUAG
rnacentral:rRNA from 1 species